AUACAUGCAGUCGAGCAACGGGUGAGUAACGCGUUGGGGAAUCUGCCUUUGAGCGGGGGACAACAUUUGGAAACGAAUGCUAAUACCGCAUAAUAACUUUAAACAUAAGUUUUAAGUUUGAAAGAUGCAAUUGCAUCACUCAAAGAAUCCCGCGUUGUAUUAGCUAGUUGGUGAGGUAAAGGCUCACCAAGGCGAUGAUACAUAGCCGACCUGAGAGGGUGAUCGGCCACAUUGGGACUGAGACACGGCCCAAACUCCUACGGGAGGCAGCAGUAGGGAAUCUUCGGCAAUGGACGAAAGUCUGACCGAGCAACGCCGCGUGAGUGAAGAAGGUUUUCGGAUCGUAAAACUCUGUUGGUAGAGAAGAACGUUGGUGAGAGUGGAAAGCUCAUCAAGUGACGGUAACUACCCAGAAAGGGACGGCUAACUACGUGCCAGCAGCCGCGGUAAUACGUAGGUCCCGAGCGUUGUCCGGAUUUAUUGGGCGUAAAGCGAGCGCAGGUGGUUUAUUAAGUCUGGUGUAAAAGSCAGUGGCUUCAACCAUUGUAUGCAUUGGAAACUGGUAGACUUGAGUGCAGGAGAGGAGAGUGGAAUUCCAUGUGUAGCGGUGAAAUGCAGAUAUAUGGAGGAACACCGGUGGCGAAAGCGGCUCUCUGGCCUGUAACUGACUGAGGCUCGAAAGCGUGGGGAGCAAACAGGAUUAGAUACCCUGGUAGUCCACGCCGUAAACGAUGAGUGCUAGAUGUAGGGAGCUAUAAGUUCUCUGUAUCGCAGCUAACGCAAUAAGCACUCCGCCUGGGGAGUACGACCGCAAGGUUGAAACUCAAAGGAAUUGACGGGGGCCCGCACAAGCG
rnacentral:rRNA from 1 species